CCUACGGGGGGCUGCAGUGGGGAAUAUUGGACAAUGGGGGCAACCCUGAUCCAGCCAUGCCGCGUGUGUGAAGAAGGCCCUCGGGUUGUAAAGCACUUUCAGUGAGGAAGAACGCCUGGUGGUUAAUACCCAUCAGGAAAGACAUCACUCACAGAAGAAGCACCGGCUAACUCCGUGCCAGCAGCCGCGGUAAUACGGAGGGUGCGAGCGUUAAUCGGAAUUACUGGGCGUAAAGCGCGCGUAGGUGGCUUGAUAAGCCGGUUGUGAAAGCCCCGGGCUCAACCUGGGAACGGCAUCCGGAACUGUCAAGCUAGAGUGCAGGAGAGGAAGGUAGAAUUCCCGGUGUAGCGGUGAAAUGCGUCGAGCUCGGGAGGAAUACCAGUGGCGAAGGCGGCCUUCUGGACUGACACUGACACUGAGGUGCGAAAGCGUGGGUAGCAAACAGGAUUAGAUACCCCUGUAGUC
rnacentral:rRNA from 1 species